rnacentral:rRNA from 1 species
AAAAACAUGUCUGUAUGAUGGUUAUAUAGAGUCUGGCCUGCCCACUGACCUAGGUUAAAGGGCCGCGGUAUUUUGACCGUGCGAAGGUAGCAUAAUCAUUAGUCUUUUAAUUGGGGGCUUGUAUGAAUGGUUGAACAAAAAAUAAGCUGUCUCGGUUGUAAAAAUUGAAUUUAACUUUUAAGUGAAAAGGCUUAAAUGAUGUAGGAUGACGAUAAGACCCUAUAAAGCUUUACAAUUAUUUGAUUUAAUUAUGAAUUAUUAGUAUAAAUUUAAUUUAAUUAAUGUUUGUUUCGUUGGGGCGACGGAGAUAUAAUUUUGUAACUGUUUUAUAAUUUUAUAACAAUAAUUUUUGG